GAUGAACGCUGGCGGCGUGCCUAAUACAUGCAAGUCGAGCGAACGGACGAGAAGCUUGCUCCUCUGAUGUUGGCGGCGGACGGGUGAGUAACACGUGGAUAACCUACCUAUAAGACUGGGAUAACUUCGGGAAACCGGAGCUAAUACCGGAUAAUAUUUUGAACCGCAUGGUUCAAAAGUGAAAGACGGUCUUGCUGUCACUUAUAGAUGGAUCCGCGCUGCAUUAGCUAGUUGGUAAGGUAACGGCUUACCAAGGCAACGAUGCAUAGCCGACCUGAGAGGGUGACCGGCCACACUGGAACUGAGACACGGUCCAGACUCCUACGGGAGGCAGCAGUAGGGAAUCUUCCGCAAUGGGCGAAAGCCUGACGGAGCAACGCCGCGUGAGUGAUGAAGGUCUUCGGAUCGUAAAACUCUGUUAUUAGGGAAGAACAUAUGUGUAAGUAACUGUGCACAUCUUGACGGUACCUAAUCAGAAAGCCACGGCUAACUACGUG
rnacentral:rRNA from 1 species